UCAACAGUCGUGCCGAGUUCCCUUACGAAAUAAGGGAAACGGGGGAACCGAUUUUGGGUGAAUUGACCUCCUAUUCACAGAGGGGUCAUAGGGGACCUUCAACCGAACCCUUAAGCUAACCUCGUAGGCAUUUGGAAGGGGUAUU
rnacentral:sRNA from 2 species